CUGGAUAUCACCCUACGACACCUCACCAUCGAUAACCAUCAUGAUUCACCACUAAAGAGAGCAUCUAAUUCAACCCACAUUGGAAUCUUCCUUUGAGUCAUUUUCCUUAAAAGGGUUACAGCACUUCCAGCUCCAUUGAGCACUGGCAUAUCUUCUUUUAUUUAUUUUUUAGGUACAAUUUACGUACGGUAAAGUGCAUAAAUCUUAAGUGUUUUGCUUGAAGAAUUUUUACUUACAUGUAUACUCAUCACCACCUACCAGACGAAGAUACAGAACAUUUCCAACACUUCAGAAGCUUCUCUUAUGCCCAUUUCCAGUCUACACUGCUCCAAAGGGCCAAACAAACAAAUGAAACUCUGGACACCAGCUCUCUCUGAAGCCCUUCACCGUGAUCUUGUAAGAGUUGUCUGUAUGCACUGACCUCACUUUUCCAUCCAUCUCUCAGCCCACUGCAAACUGACUUCAGUUGAUAUCAUUCCAUGGAAACCGCUCUUGCCAAGACUUGCCUCCAAAUGACUUUUAUAUGUAACUGUAAGAGCAACAUUCAAUCAGAAAAGCAGAGCCACUAUAAGUGAUAGAGAACAAGGGAUUUAUUUUAUGGAUUAAACUUACAUCCUUGUGGGAGCUGGUGAAGAUGCAUGUUGCCUCUGCCUCUGGUGUGGGUCUGAGGUCUCUUUAGAGCAGCAGGGCCCACAGUCAGGAAGAAAAUCUGACAAGAAGUGUGGGAGAGUGAGGACAAACUGGAGCCCACAUGAGUCUCUCACUGCCACCAUCAUUGACGAUGCGCAUGACCUGCAGAAGCUUUGCUGCGGAGCUACACCUGUGUCUGGUAUCUGGCCCUGGAGUCAGAGAAGCUGGAGCAGCAAUGCAGUGGCAGCUCCUCUGAGCCCUGCUGCUGCCCCAGGCCCACAGGGGAGCCCCCUGGAGCAGCAGCAACAUGUGCAAACUGCAGUGACACCUGACACCCUCCACCAACCUUUCAGAGCAUUAUGCUGCUGAUUCAAUUCCACCUCCCACAUCUUGCCUGAAAAUUUCUUAUGACGAACCCUAACCCAGCACUGUACAGGGAAGGACAUUCUGGGAAAUGUAGUUCAGCUUAGUAAACUGACACAGCACGAUACCAGCCCAGUUAUAAAACUCAAGCUGAUCUCCAAGGGAGUGUUUGCCAUCAUUGAAAGAGUCGAAAACAAACGCCAAUAUAAAAGUUUCCGAAAACGUUGGGCACAAGGAUAGAAUCUUUGGAAUGAGUGACAAAUGCUUCCAAGAAGUUCUGAUUGACUUUAAAAAAGGACAACGUCAAUUUGAAUGCAUAACAUUCUGGUUUCUCCACAGGGAGGAAAAAUGAGUCAUAUUAUUUUAUAGCCAUUCCUUCUAUUUUCAUCACUUUUCCCCUAUGGUUCUC
rnacentral:lncRNA from 1 species